UUCUGAUCAGGCGCAAUGUAAGUCAGUCCUUAGAAACCCGGAAGUGACGUGUGGCGUAACGUCAGCAACAACAGUAGUCAAAAUGAGGCUGCAUGCUUGCGUUCAUCCAAUAUUACUUUUGAAACAAGAACAAACCUGAAGAACAUAGCCAUAAAUUACCUUGGACGCUAGUUUCUCAAACAGGCUUUCACUAAAAAAAGAGGAGUCUUAGGAAGACAGAAUUCACGCCAGUUCCACUGAUGAACUUUUCAUGCCUUAUUUUUUUAAGACUGAUUGAAAUGUAAUAAAGUAAAAUGUUUACUGA